GCGUGAAGUGAUGGCAGUGACGGGAUUUGAAUCGGCAAAGUGGCGAUGGCCGGCGCAUGUGAGAGAGAGAGGGGGAGGGUAUUCCCCAAAAAAAGAGAGAGGGGGGGAGGAAGAGAACACGCAGUGGAGAAAGAAAGGGGGAGAGGAGCACGUCUCCUCGGUGGGGGCACGUGCGGCGCACGUGGAGAGGGAGGGAGGAUGUGUCAGAGGAAGCAGGGCUAUUCAAACCACCAUAGCAGUUAGGGAGGAAAACGUUUUGGUGUGUGACAAAGAUCGGCAUUCUAACAGUAAGAUGGUAAUGAAUUAA
rnacentral:lncRNA from 1 species